ensembl:snoRNA SNORD15 Small nucleolar RNA SNORD15
CUUCAAUGAAGAGAUGAUGACGAGUCUGACUUGGAAGCCUUAUCUUUGCCCAUGUGGCCUUACUCUGUGCUGCGUUCUGUGACACAGUUAAGAGUCCUGGUUGAAGAAACUUCCUAAAGAUGACCUAGAGGCAUUUGUCUGAGAAGG